CUUCAUACAAUAUGGUAGCAGGCUAUAGUGCAUAAACAUAAAUCCUAACAGUCUAAACAAUUGGGGUUUACUUUCUCACUUUUAGAUAAUGUAAUACACGCAUCUAUCUUCACGCACGACUGGAUAGGCCUUUUGGAUACGCUUGUCAAAGGCCCAAGACAUAAAGUCGCCUGAAAGCUGUGUAGCAAUAAUUCCAGCUCCUGAUCCAUAGGAUGGUAAUCACAUACAUGAUUGGCUUAAUCUAGAAUCAUGGAUACCUUUCAUGUGAGUACACACACCAGAUUUUUUUACAUACCUCAGAAGGAAGAUACCUCAAUAUCUGYAAGCACUGUCUCAUGUACAAUUGUUAAUGCUAUCUCUGAAAUGUCUAACAAAAUGUUGACCUGAUGAUUUCAUCAAGACCUUCUCAUCACACGUUGGAACUAGUGGUCAACAUUGGGACAAUGCAGCCCAAAAUAACAGGGGCCAAUAUUUUKAUGGAGUGAGCAGGACCUGCCAGCAGAGCUCACUGGAGCAGGGAGACAWCCCGUCAUCCUUUUGGCGCCUGACAAAGCUUGAGYUUCAGAUCCUGCUGAACGAUGUUAAGCAGUCGAUUAACCACAUGCAGGGGACGCUGAACACCAUGCAGGGGCAGUGWAUUGAG